rnacentral:rRNA from 1 species
UCGCAAGACGAUGUAUACGGACUGACUCCUGCCCGGUGCUGGAAGGUUAAGAGGACCCGUCAGCCAGCAAUGGCGAAGCGGAGAAUUCAAGCCCCAGUAAACGGCGGUGGUAACUAUAACCAUCCUAAGGUAGCGAAAUUCCUUGUCGGGUAAGUUCCGACCUGCACGAAUGGAGUAACGACUUCCCCGCUGUCUCGACCGUGAACUCGGCGAAAUUGCACUACGAGUAAAGAUGCUCGUUACGCGCAGCAGGACGGAAAGACCCCGAGACCUUCACUACAGUUUGGUAUUGGUGUUCGGAGCGGCUUGUGUAGGAUAGGUGGGAGACUGCGAGUCCGUCACGCCAGUGGCGGAGGAGUCAUCGUUGAAAUACCACUCUGGUCGCUUUGGACACCUCAACCUCGGCCCGUGAUCCGGGCCAGGGACAGUGCCUGACGGGUAGUUUAACUGGGGCGGUUGCCUCCCAAAGGGUAACGGAGGCGCCCAAAGGUCCCCUCAGCCUGGUCGGCAACCAGGUGGCGAGUGCAAGUGCACAAGGGGGCUUGACUGUGAGAGAGACAUCUCGAGCAGGGACGAAAGUCGGGACUAGUGAUCCGGCGGCACCUCGUGGAAGGGCCGUCGCUCAACGGAUAAAAGGUACCUCGGGGAUAACAGGCUGAUCUUGCCCAAGAGUCCAUAUCGACGGCAUGGUUUGGCACCUCGAUGUCGGCUCGUCGCAUCCUGGGGCUGGAGUAGGUCCCAAGGGUUGGGCUGUUCGCCCAUUAAAGCGGUACGCGAGCUGGGUUUAGAACGUCGUGAGACAGUUCGGUCCCUAUCCGCUGCGCGCGCAGGAGAUCUGAGAAGGGCUGUCCCCAGUACGAGAGGACCGGGACGGACGAACCUCUGGUGUGCCAGUUGUACCGCCAGGUGCACGGCUGGUUGGCUACGUUCGGAAGGGAUAACCGCUGAAAGCAUCUAAGCGGGAAGCCCACUUCAAGAUGAGAUCUCCA